rnacentral:rRNA from 1 species
UGGGGAAUUUUGGACAAUGGGGCAACCCUGAUCCAGCCAUCCCGCGUGUGCGAUGAAGGCCUUCGGGUUGUAAAGCACUUUUGGCAGGGAAGAAAAGGCGCAGGUUAAUACCCUGUGCUGCUGACGGUACCUGCAGAAUAAGCACCGGCUAACUACGUGCCAGCAGCCGCGGUAAUACGUAGGGUGCAAGCGUUAAUCGGAAUUACUGGGCGUAAAGCGUGCGUAGGCGGUUUGGCAAGAAAGAUGUGAAAUCCCAGGGCUUAACCUUGGAACUGCAUUUUUAACUGCAAGGCUAUAGUAUGUCAGAGGGGGGUAGAAUUCCACGUGUAGCAGUGAAAUGCGUAGAGAUGUGGAGGAAUACCGAUGGAGAAGGCAGCCCCCUGGGAUAAUACUGACGCUCAGGCACGAAAGCGUGGGGAGCAAACA